CUGAGAGAAGGAUACUGGGGGAAGUGGUGUGUUGGCAUUUUGGAGAAAUGGGGAUCGAAGUACAAUAAAACUGUAAAUGAUAUCGUCCCGCGUGUCCACAAACAACAGCCAGGCAUUUCGUAAUGCAGAAACACCUCUACUAAGUGACAUAUUCUCUCGAUAAACAAGAACAGUGCUGAGGAAGUAGAAUGGGGAAGAAGGAUGCCAUAUCGACCGAU